GGAUUGCGUCCUAUCAGCUUGUUGGCGGGGUAAUGGCCCACCAAGGCUUUUGACGGGUAGCUGGUCUGAGAGGAUGGUCAGCCAAAUUGGGACUAAGACACUCACCAGACUCCUACGGGAGGCUGCAGUCGAGAAUUCUUGCAAUGCCCGAAAGGGUGACAAUGCGACGCCGCGUGUGCGAUGAAGGUCUUCGGAUUGAAAAGCACGUCAGUCGGAAUGAAGGUGGCUCUGUCGAACAGACGGAGUUGCUUGACAGUACCGGCAGAGGAAGCCACGGCUAACUCCGUGCCAGCAGCCGCGGUAAUACGGAGUGGCAGGCGUUACUCGGAUUGAUUGGGUGUAAAGGGCGUGUAGGUGGUGAAUUAAGUCGAUUGUAAAAUCCCUUGGCUUAACCAAGGAACUGCAUUCGAAACUGAUUCGCUUGAGUGAUGGAGAGGUAAGUGGAAUUCCCGGUGUAACAGUGAAAUGUGUAGAUAUCGGGAGGAACACCAGUGGCGAAGGCGACUUACUGGCUGUCUACUGACACUGAAACGCGAGAGCUAGGGGAGCAAACAGGAUUAGAUACCCUGGUAGUCCUAGCCGUAAACGAUGUUCACUAGGUGUCGGGCCCUCUGGGUUCGGUGCCGCCGUUAACACAUUAAGUGAACCACCUGGGGAGUACGGUCGCAAGACUGAAACUCAAAGGAAUUGACGGGGACCCGCACAAGCGGUGGAGCAUGUGGUUUAAUACGACGCUACGCGUGGAACCUUACCAAGGCUUGACAUGUAUAUGAAAUCUCAGCGAAAGCUGAGACCUGUCCUAAAGACACAUUUACACAGGUGUUGCAUGGCUGUCGUCAGCUCGUGUCGUGAGAUGUUGGGUUAAGUCCCGCACGAGCGCAACCCUCGUCGUUAGUUGCCACUCCGCAGGAGAGCACUCUAGCGAUACUGCCAGUGUUACUGCAGAGUGGGGAUGACGUCAAGUCAGUACGCCUAUGCCUGGCCUACAACGUGCUACAUCCCCCUACAAGAGACGCAAGACGUAGUGGAGCAAAUCUCAAAAGCGCCCAGUCGAAUGAGCUGCACUGCCCUAAUGAAGCCGGAAUCGCUAGUAAUCGCGCAUCAGCCACGGCGCGAUGAAUACGUUCCCGGGUCUUGUACACACCGCCCGUC
rnacentral:rRNA from 1 species